GCGAAGGUGGCGGAAUUGGUAGACGCGCUAGCUUCAGGUNGGUAGACGCGCUAGCUUCAGGUGUUAGUGUCUUAACGGACGUGAGGGUUCAAGUCCCUCUCUUCGCACCA
rnacentral:tRNA from 1 species